CGCCUUUUGAGGAAAUAGAAGGUCUAACCUGCCCACUGAAUAAUUAAAGGGCCGCGGUAUUUUGACCGUGCAAAGGUAGCAUAAUCAUUAGUCUUCUAAUUAAAGGCUGGAAUGAAUGGUUGAACGAGAUGCUAGCUGUCUCACUAAAAUGAAUAGAAUUUAACUUUUUAGUCAAAAGGCUGAAAUGAUGGUGGAGGACGAGAAGACCCUAUAGAGCUUGACAUAGAUUACUUUUAUUUGGUUUAGUAAAAUUAAGGGUUUAAGGUAAAAUAUGUUUCGUUGGGGUGACGGGGAGAUAGAAUAAACUCUUCUGAGAUGUGACAUAAAUGAAUGAAUGUUUGAUCCACAAGUAGUGAUUAAAAGACUAAGUUACCUUAGGGAUAACAGCGUAAUCUUUUUUAAGAGUUCUAAUCGACAAAAAGGGUUGCGACCUCGAUGUUGGACUAAGGGUUAUUCUCAGGUGUAGCAGUUUGAGAUUUAGGUCUGUUCGACCUUUGAACCCUUACAU
rnacentral:rRNA from 1 species